UAUGUUAUAGGAAUUUCAUUGUGAAAAAGAAAAAUAAUAAAAUUCAUAAUUAACUUUUAUCUGUUGGAUACCGUUAUAAGUCAGAUAACUUUAUCAGCAAUUGAAAAACAGACCUUUGAGGUAUUUAAUAUAUUAAUAACUUUUAAUGUCCGUAAAUACUCAUAACGUGGUUCUAUAUAGUUUCAUAGUGACUAGCAUAAAAUAAUCUGUACAAUAAAAAUGUCUACACCAUGUAUAUUUGCAAUUUGUAACAUCACUGGCCAUAUUCAGCGUUGUCUUUAUAUUUAUUAAUAAAAAAAGUAAAAUAAUUGUAUAAUGCUCAAUUUAAAUAAUGUAUUUUUAAAUGUAACAAAAAUAUAAAAAAUAAUUUUAAACAUUAUAUAGUGAAGAUUUUUUUUAAAUGUAUUUUUUGACAUUUAACAUUGAAUUUCACACAAGGAAUCCUAGUGUGGUAAUCACUAAUUAAUUUUAUUUUACUAUUGAAGAAAUAAAUAGUGCUGGUAACAUAGACUUCAUUAAAAAACAUUAUCCUUGCUAGUGACAGAAAGAAAUCAUGGUCUAACGUGCUCGUAUUAACAGAAUAUAAUAUAAAUUUAAGUAUUAUUCUAAUAUAUUAAUGAUUACUGUAAAAUUAAUGGAACGCUAUAUUCAUUAAUAUUAAGUACUGUAAAUACACAUCGAAUGGUGCAUGUAAAUUUGUUUAGAUGUCGAUUAUUUUAUUGUAAUAAACAUUGGUAUUUUAUUUUGUUUGUUUAAUUUUUACCAACUUAUCCUAUAAUUUGAUAUAACUAGUAUAUUUAUAAAUAUAUAUAUUUAUAAUUCUUGAAAGCGCCUCUAUAGAUUUGGAUGAAAUUUGCAAUGUAGGAAUCCGCAUACAUGUAUGAAAAAUCAGUUUAGCUGCAGCAUGAAACGUCGUGUCUGGAGAAAAUUGUACUAAUUUUUAUUUUAAUAAAGCGAUUAAAGCAA